UACGUAGGGUGCGAGCGUUAAUCGGAAUUACUGGGCGUAAAGCGUGCGCAGGCGGUUUUGUAAGCCAGGUGUGAAAUCCCCGGGCUCAACCUGGGAAUGGCAUUUGGGACUGCAAGGCUGGAGUGUGGCAGAGGAGACUGGAAUUCCUGGUGUAGCAGUGAAAUGCGUAGAUAUCAGGAGGAAUACCGAUGGCGAAGGCAGGUCUCUGGGCUGACACUGACGCUCAUGCACGAAAGCGUGGGGAGCAAACAGG
rnacentral:rRNA from 1 species